rnacentral:tRNA from 1 species
GCCGAAGUGGCGGAACGGUAGACGCAUCGGACUUAAAAUCCGCUGGGGCACCCGCCCCGUACGGGUUCGAAUCCCGUCUUCGGCA